AGUCUGCAUGCUCAAGUCAUCACCUUUAAUCUCCAAUGCACCUCCUGACUUGGAUACUUCUGUAAUCUUCUGCAACUCCUGAGUUGGUUCAUUAAGAGGAGGUGCUGAUUGAUUCUCAGCACCUUGUUCCUUCAAAAUUGAUGUUUUUGGUCGUCUUAUGGCUUCAACUGCUUCAGGCAUUGCAACGGGAGGUGGCUGCGGAGGAACCCAUGUGCGCGGGAUUGGCCGUUGAUAGGUUUGAUCACCAUAAGAUCCACCCUUCAAUUCAUCUUCGUUCUCAAUCUCUGUAAUUCUAGGAUUUUUCUGCUGCCACCAAGGAACUGAAUUGUCUCCAUCAAACU
rnacentral:lncRNA from 1 species